ACAGCCACAUCAAGUUGAAACUCCAGUUCCUGUAUGAUCACUGAAGUUAAGCAAUGUCAAACAUGGUCAGUACCUAGAUGAGUGACCACUUGGGAAUACCAAGUGCCAU